GAUGAAGAACGUAGCGAAAUGCGAUAAGUAAUGUGAAUUGCAGAAUUCAGUGAAUCAUCGAAUCUUUGAACGCACAUUGCGCCCCUUGGUAUUCCAUGGGGCAUGCCUGUUCGAGCGUCAUUUGUACCUUCAAGCUCUGCUUGGUGUUGGGUGUUUGUCUCGCCUCUGCGUGUAGACUCGCCUUAAAACAAUUGGCAGCCGGCGUAUUGAUUUCGGAGCGCAGUACAUCUCGCGCUUUGCACUCAUAACGACGACGUCCAAAAGUACAUUUUUACACUGUUGACCUCGGAUCAGGUAGGGAUACCCGCUGAACUUAAGCAUAUCAAUAAGCGGAGGA
rnacentral:misc_RNA from 1 species